AAUUAAUUCGAGAGGCUUUGUGCUUCCAAUCCUUGUUCUUGUGUGGAACGAAUAUGAACUCAUUAAGAUUCAACAUCUUGUGGCAUUCAACAACUCAGGUAAGAUUCAAUUAAUUGUGCAAUCAAAAGAUCCUUCGUAUCUUUAUUAUCUUGGGGUUGUUUGAUUCAUUAAUUGGUUGGGUUAAAUCCAAAUUCGGAUUAAAUUUAUAAGUUUCGUAAUCAAAAGAUCAGUAGUUUAAUAUACUAUUGGUUGUUUUGUAUGUAAAUUUGUGAAUUGAGUCCUAAACUUUGAUUUUUUGGCUUUCUUGGAGUUUGUGUCAUUCUUCUGUGGGUUCGUUAGUGUUCGUUGCUACCAGGGUUCAUAUCAGGUGGUAUCAGAGCUUAGGCACCAGAAUCAAAGUUAUAUCCCUUUAUUUUUUUUCUUCUCGUUUAGGAGUCUUUGUUUUGUUCUUCGUAUUUUCCAUUAGUUUUGAGUCUUAAAUCUAAAAUAUUAGGUAAUUUAAUUGUGUUUUCCUAAAAAAAAAUAAACUUUUUUUUAUCGUUCACGUACUGUUCCGAUAUUGUUCACAGGUUUUUUUUUUUUUUUAAAAAAUUUUUUGUCCAUCAAAAAUUUUUAUUCAAUUUCUUAGUCCUUCAACUUAUUAAUCUUGAAUCUUCCACAAUUCAAUUGUUACCCCACAAUUUUACUCCAAGUAAUUGUUCUUGAGAUCAUUGAUUGGAAACAAUUGAGAGGUAAAAAGCUAAGUAGUGAGUUCAAUUGAGGGUAAAGUCUAAUAUUGAGUGAUUCCCGAGUGAAGUUUUGGUGAGGCAGAAAAUUUGUGAAAAUGUCAGAACGAGAAGGAUCCACUUCGAGCAGGAUGGAAAAUCAAAAUAACAUGGUAGACGAUAUGAUGCAGUGGUUUGAGCGCAUGAUAAUUAGUGUGGAGAAUAGGUUGGACAGGCUAGACGCUACGGUUACAAACCUUAGCCGGGGUCAAUGGGCAGACAUACCACAUGCUAGGAGGCCGACUAGACGAAAGCCUAGGGUGGUAUGCAAAAUGAAUGUGGGUAUGGCAGUGAAUCGGAUAAUGAUGAAUUUGAAGAAGUAGAGAUGGGACAAAUGAGAAAUAGAGGUGGUAGAUUUCAACGAAGGGGUAGAAACUAUGAGGGAGACGACGGUGAUGGAGGUAUGGGUAGUAUUAAAAUGUCAAUUCCGACAUUUUGGGGGUAAGAGUGACCCAGAGGCCUUUCUUGAAUGGGAGAAAAAGGUGGAGUUGAUAUUUGAGUGCCACAACUACUCGGAUGAGAAGAAAGUGAAGCUUACAGUCUUGGAGUUCACUGAUUACGCCAUCACUUGGUGGGAUCAAGUAGUCACUUCAUGGUGGAGAAAUAAGGAGAGGCCGAUAACUACUUGGGAUGAGUUGAAAGCGGUGAUGAGAAAACGGUUCGUGCCUGGCCACUAUUAUAGGGAGCUUCAUCAAAGGUUGCAGGGGCUGUACCAAUGGUCGAGGAGUGUGGAUGAAUUUGAAGAAGUAGAGAUGGGACGAAUGAGAAAUAGAGGUGGUAGAUUUGAACGAAGGGUUAGAAACUAGGGGGGACGACGAUGAUGGAGGUAUGGGUAGCAUUAAAAUGUCAAUUUCGACAUUUUGGGGUAGAAGUGACCCAGAGGCAUUUCUUGAGUGGGAGAAAAAGGUGGAGUUGAUAUUUGAGUGCCACAACUACUCGGAGGAGAAAAAAGUGAAGCUUGCAGUCUUGGAGUUCACUGAUUACGCCAUCACUUGGUGAGAUUAGGUGGUCACUUCAUGGCGGAGAAAUAGGGAGAGGCCGAUAACUACUUGGGAUGAGUUGAAAGCGGUGAUGAGAAAACGGUUCGUGCCUGGCCACUAUUAUAGGGAGCUUCAUCAAAGGUUGUAGGGGCUGUACCAAUGGUCGAGGAGUGUGGAUGAAUUUGAAGAAGUAGAGAUGGGACGAAUGAGGAAUAGAGGUUGUAGAUUUGAACGAAGGGUUAGAAACUAGGGGGGACGACGAUGAUGGAGGUAUGGGUAGCAUUAAAAUGUCAAUUUCGACAUUUUGGGGUAGAAGUGACCCAGAGGCAUUUCUUGAGUGGGAGAAAAAGGUGGAGUUGAUAUUUGAGUGCCACAACUACUCGGAGGAGAAAAAAGUGAAGCUUGCAGUCUUGGAGUUCACUGAUUACGCCAUCACUUGGUGAGAUUAGGUGGUCACUUCAUGGCGGAGAAAUAGGGAGAGGCCGAUAACUACUUGGGAUGAGUUGAAAGCAGUGAUGAGAAAACGGUUUGUGCCUGGCCAUUAUUAUAGAAAGUUUUAUCAAAGGUUGCAGGGGUUGUACCAAGGGUCGAGGAGUGUGGAUGAUUACCAUAAAGAGAUGGAAAUUCUAAUGAUUCGAGCUAAUGUGAAGGAGGACCGAAAAGCCACCAUGGCAUGAUUCCUGAAUGGGUUGAAUAGGGACAUCGCCAAUGUUGUUGAAUUGUAGCAUUACGUGGAACUAGAAGAUAUGUUGCAUGUAGCAAUGAAGGUUGAGAGGCAAUUGAAGAGAAAAGGGGGAGCUAGUAAUCAACAGGAGCCUAAUUCAUCUUGGAGGUCUAGGUGGGAUGAAGAGAAGGUUGAUGGGGCUGUUGUUAACAAUAAAAUUGAACCACCUAGGGAAAAGGAUAACAACGCCGGCAAGGUUGCACCAAAGGCGGAACCACAACAACCUAGGAAUCGGGACAUCAAGUGCUUGGGAACAGGACACAUUGCUUCUCAGUGUCCAAACAAACGAGCUAUGAUUUUGAAAGACAGUGGGAAAGUGGUGAGUGACAUUGAUGAAGAUGGAAUGCCCAAGUUAGAAGAUAUUAGUGAUGAUGACGGGGUGGAGUAUCCGGCUGAAGGGGACGCAUUGGUGGUGAUGCGUGCACUCAGUUUCGUAAAUCAAGGUGGAUGAAGAGGAGCAACAACGGGAGAAUAUUUUCUACACAUGAUGUCACGUGGAAAAUAAGGUAUGUAAUUUAAUAAUUGACGGAGGUUGUUGCACAAAUUUAGCUAGUACCACGUUAAACAAGAAGUUAGGUUUAAGAACAAUUAAACACCCAAAACCAUAUAGAUUACAGUGGUUGAAUGAUCAUGGAGAGGUUAAGGUGAACAAGAGGGUGUUAUUGAAUUUGUCAAUUGGGAGGUAUAAGGAUGAAGUGUUGUGUGAUGUUGUGCCUAUAGAUGUGGGGCAUAUAUUAUUGGGUAGGCCUUGCCAAUACGAUAGGAAGGUGAAUCAUGAUGGAUUUAGAAAUAGGUACAACUUUGACAUGGAUGGGAAAAUAAUUACACUUGUCCCUUUGACACCACAACAAGUGUAUGAUGAUCAGUUGAUGUUGAAAAGCGAUGAGGGAAAAAUGAAAGAAAAACGAAAGGGGAGCUUAUAUGCAAAGAAGAGUGAGCUUGGUGGUGGGCGAGAGUUGGUGAAGGCUAACAUAUCCCUCCCCAGUUUGAAAUAUUCCUUGUUGCAGGAACAUAAAAAUUUAUUGCAUGAGAAAGCACCAUUUAAAUAUUUCAUUGAUGGACAACAAAUGGAGCAACUUUGGAGCAUUGAAGAGGAAUCAAUCAACCAUUGCAACUCAGGGUACAAGAAGCUCAAUUAAGGGUUCAACAUUGAUCAAGUAGAUGGAAGGAGCAUAGUCUAUGAACCAGGUGCAGAUUCGAAGUCGAAUUUUUUCGAAGAGAGAGGGGAUGAUAUAAUCCGGGUUAGGCCAAAUUCGGUCGCAUAGUAUACUUCGAGACCAAAGUUGCAAUUUUCUCACGAGAAUCCUAUUUUGACUCAAUUUCAUAUUUUUGGCAAGUUUAUUAUUUUAGGACUCUUAAAUCCUAUUUUGACUCAAUUUUUUAUUUUUGGCAAGUUUAUUAUUUUAGGACUCUUAAAUCAAGUUUUUUCCCAUAUUUCUAGACUUUAGUAUAAAUAGGAAAUUUAUUUCAAUAUUAUAUUCCAAGACUUUGAUAUUUGAGAAAUUAAUUCGAGAGGUUUUUGCUUCCAAUCCUUG
rnacentral:lncRNA from 1 species